GCUUACGGCCAUACCACCCUGAACACGCCCGAUCUCGUUUGAUCUCGAAAGCUAAGCAGGGUCGGGUCUGGUUAGUACUUGGAUUGGAGACCGCCUGGGAAUACCAUGUGCUGUAAGCU